rnacentral:rRNA from 1 species
CGUCAGGCGGACGCGGAGGGACAUUACCGAGUUUACAACUCCCAAACCCCUGUGAACAUACCUUAAUGUUGCCUCGGCGGAUCAGCCCGCGCCCCGUAAAACGGGACGGCCCGCCAGAGGACCCAAACUCUAAUGUUUCUUAUUGUAACUUCUGAGUAAAACAAACAAAUAAAUCAAAACUUUCAACAACGGAUCUCUUGGUUCUGGCAUCGAUGAAGAACGCAGCAAAAUGCGAUAAGUAAUGUGAAUUGCAGAAUUCAGUGAAUCAUCGAAUCUUUGAACGCACAUUGCGCCCGCUGGUAUUCCGGCGGGCAUGCCUGUUCGAGCGUCAUUUCAACCCUCAAGCCCUCGGGUUUGGUGUUGGGGAUCGGCUCUGCCUUCUGGCGGUGCCGCCCCCGAAAUACAUUGGCGGUCUCGCUGCAGCCUCCAUUGCGUAGUAGCUAACACCUCGCAACUGGAACGCGGCGCGGCCAUGCCGUAAAACCCCAACUUCUGAAUGUUGACCUCGGAUCAGGUAGGAAUACCCGCUGAACUUAAGCAUAUCAUAAAGCCCGGAGAGAG